rnacentral:rRNA from 1 species
AUUGAACGCUGGCGGCAGGCCUAACACAUGCAAGUCGAGCGGAAGAAGGGAGCUUGCUCCUGGAUUCAGCGGCGGACGGGUGAGUAAUGCCUAGGAAUCUGCCUGGUAGUGGGGGAUAACGUCCGGAAACGGGCGCUAAUACCGCAUACGUCCUGAGGGAGAAAGUGGGGGAUCUUCGGACCUCACGCUAUCAGAUGAGCCUAGGUCGGAUUAGCUAGUUGGUGGGGUAAAGGCCUACCAAGGCGACGAUCCGUAACUGGUCUGAGAGGAUGAUCAGUCACACUGGAACUGAGACACGGUCCAGACUCCUACGGUAGGCAGCAGUGGGGAAUAUUAGACGAUGGGCGAGAGCCUGAUCCAGCCAUGCCGCGUGUGUGAAGAAGGUCUUCGGAUGGUAAAGCACUUUAAGUUGUGAGGAAGGGCAGUAAGUUAAUACCUUGCUGUUUUGACGUUACCAACAGAAUAAGCACCGGCUAACUUCGUG